UAUUUUAUAUCUAUACAUCCGGAUCCAAGCUUUUCCUUUGUCUCUCUCUCAGGCGGUCCAUCCUCAUCAUCGAAUUCAAAAGAUUCUCAGUUAAUUAGAUAUAGAAAGAUAUGCGAGAGAGACAAAGAAAAGAGGAGCCAGCUGUUGCCGACAACCGGUCCGCGAGUGGCGUUGGCGGUGAGUGGUUAAUCUAGCUCUGAUGGACUCAUAUCGUUAUCAACAACCUCAAUCCAUGUUCAUCCACUUCAACGGUGAUGGUUUUCGGUGUCGAUCCAUGGUAGUUUAAUGACGGCCACAACGGCGGUUUAGGGUUUUACAAGACGAGAUCGGAGAUUGUGAUGACGGGUUGAGAUCCUGUUGGAGACAACGAUAUUGACGGCGGAUACGCGUUGCCAGCGAUUAUUGUUAGGGUUCCGGUAAAGUUAUAAUGACAAUAAACGGCUGAUUCGUUCGGGGUUCUACACUUAUAUUGACGAUGAGGAGAUGAAAGAUAACGAAGAUCCGCCGCUGACAUGGAUCGGGCAACGGCGGCAGAACGAUUUUUGGUUUUUAUGUUUCGAUCGGCGACCAUGUCUUCUAUUACCGGAUUGUGAAUAGAGGUUAGACGUUACAUCAUUUAGUGCCUUUUCGACUACAACUGGUGACUACACAAAGAAAUAUGAAUUAGAAAGUAAGUUUCCAGCAUGCUGUUCAUCAUUCAUAACUAAAGGCUUUGGUGGUGGCUGGUUCAUGCUUGCUGUUUUCAGAAAAGAAAAAUGCGAAAUGAUUCAGUUUACACAUUAUCGGGCAAACGAUAAAAGGAGGAAGAGGAGAGCAAAGAUGGAAGGACCCCAUGGAUGCAACCUGAAAGGAAAAAAAAAGAAAUAAGAAAGGUGGACUUGAGAAACAGCCGCAAUUCAUGGGUAGGUGCAUUAUAUAGAAAUACAUCUCUCAACUGACCCAGAUUUGUAGGAGUGGAGAUAAUGGCCCUAAAAGAAGGAGAUAACCACCAGAUAAGUAGAGAUCAUGGGGCAAAAAAAUUGGAGCAAAACCACCAGCUGCAUAACUGCAAAUAACUGCUCUGAACCGCCAUAGGAGCGGUUAUUUUUAUGAGUUUACACGACCCAGAUUUAAUCUUAGCAUAAUCCAACGGAUGAUAUUGAUUUCAAAGGUAACUUCCACUUAAUGGGUUCCAUAUAUAUAUAUAUAUAUAUAUAUAUAUAUAAUUCCCUCCUCUUAAUCAAUCGAUGCAUCACCCAUCACUCAUCCUCCUCCUGAUUCUUCUUCUCCGUCUACGAUCCUCCCCUCAAUUUCUCGUCACAAUCUCAUCAAUAUGAUCAUCAUCUGCUCUUGGCGGGGUAAUAUCCGGAGGGCUCGUGGCGGAACUUACUGUUUCCACCAUUGAAGCAACCGUGAUUUUGCAGCCAUUGUAACCACCAUUACCCAUAUCCAUUCUAACCGAUGGUCAGCUCUUCCAAUAGCUAAUGUGUAGAUUUUAUGUUUUUGUACUGCUUAACGUGACAAGGAAGAAAUAAUAGCGCUAUUGGAGCAGUUGAUGAUGCUAUAUGCUUAUGUUAUUAAUCUAAAGACGGAUAACAUGCUUCUUGCUUCUGCAAGUGAUGACGGGACCAAUAAAAUUUGAAAAAAAAAGACGUUAGGGGCCAAAAGGGUUAGAAAAAAAAGGCGUUAGGGGCUCAGAUGUUAAAAAAAUCUUUUUUGGGCUAAAAGGGUAAAAGUGAUAUAACCACAAGGGCCAAAAUCGUAAUUUACUCUUUUAUGUAUUACUUAACAUGUAUCCUCUUGACUUUCUAAAUUUAUUUGUUUGUGGUUAUGUCAAGUGUUUUAAUUGGUUGGAUUGUUGUCGUAUAAAAACGUCGAUCAACAGGUCGAAAAGAGGUCACCUUUAAGGUUAAAGAGAACGAUCCAAAAGCUGAAAAAAUAUAAGCAGUAAACCAACCAUAUUUGAAUGUUAUUACACUUUCCCCUAAUGUUGCUUAUCGUUUACUUUUUCAUUAAAAUGACACAAUUUCAUGUUUUACCACUAUCAGUUUUAUUUUAUAUUGUUUUGUGGUUGUACACUCUUCAUGUUCGUUUUCCUUUUAUAAAUUAAAGAAUGGUACUUUUGCUUGUAAUGUUGUUUAGAUUUGUGUCCACUUAAUGUGGGUGUUUGGGAUUUGCUUAUUUUGAGCUCUUUUAACUUUUAGACUUAUAAAAAGUUAAUUUGUGUUUGAAAAGAAGAAAAGGAAAAGUUAGAGGGUUUGUGACUUUUUCAAAAAAAAUGAGAUGGAAAAGGAGAAAAGAA